GUGAGGGUGACCGAACGUGGGGAGGAAGCGUGAAGCGAAACCGUGAGCCGAUGUACAAGAACCGGAUAGAAGGCGGUGCCGAUCAGGGCAAGCGUGAGUAGCCCGCGGUGAAGCUGCGCGCGUACCUGUGAGUGACGA
rfam:Candidatus Burkholderia crenata strain TZHbot9 BCREchr_ctg643, whole genome shotgun sequence.